UCUUUUAAGCAUCGACUAACACGAGCCCGUAGUGUCACAAGUCACUAGUUAUUAACAAAUGUCUAAGGCCUUAGCCACAGGAUAAAAAAGAGUGCUUAAUCAGAAGUCCACCACCCAAUAUUAUUAUUUGUACAAUUUGCUUUCUCUACCUUUCUCUUUUUUCUCCGCCUCGUGAGUCUACACGGUCUAUAUAAGUAUGAGCUUCAACUUUCAUACAAUAUUCUACUAGAAAGAAAGGCAAAAGUUAAGAAGCUGCCAUAGAAGAAUAAUGUGCGUCAGUGCAACACAAAGUGUUCUGUUUCAUACAAUUCAGAGUUCAAAGAACAAGAGAAGUUCAAAAAGAUCAAAAUUUCAAGUUCUGAGGCUUACAAGGAGGAGAUGUGAAGAGAAGCUGGGGAAGGAAAUUGAGCUGAAGAAUCUGCAGCUAUAUCUGGAGAACCAGACCAUAAUUGAAGAGAAUGAGAAACUAAGAGAGAAAGCCAAUAUCCUUCAUCAAGAGAAUUUGGCUUUAUUGACUGAGUUUCAGAAAAAAUUCCCGCAUUUGGAACAGAGAAAGUGAUGGGAAUCAUCAAUAGAGUGCAUGGUUUUAUUUCUGUUCUGAGUGAUUUUUAGAUGUAUUGAACUCUUUAUUCAAUAUAUAUGUGCCAUUUAUCUAGAGUA